AGCCUACACAGGGAUCUAUUUAAGCUUUUCUCGUCGUAGUGUUGGUUAGAUCAACCAAAACUAACCCACAAUGGUUAUUAAGGAGAUUGCCUGUAGGCCUAACUACAACUACACUGCUUGAUACCAUAGACCGUAUAAGGCUUCUAGAUUGCUACUAAAUUUCUUGCGGAUUCGCUGCAACAGAUUUACAACUUGGAGUUGAUGUUCAACCAUGGAGAGGCCAGCAGAGCCGUUUCCCCAUUUUAAGCUAAGUUGCUGCUGGCUGUGAAGAACAACAUGCAGUGUGGAAGCAAAGGUAUACAAUAGGCAUGUGUUGGUAGGAUGUGCACGUAGGACUGAGAUUUAUAGUGCUACCCUUUGAUAUUCCCUAUCAGAGUGGCCAUGUCUUCUCCUUGUCUUUGUCAUUGUGACCAAAAUGUAAAGCAUAUCUACUUUCAUGCCUCUAUUUAGUUUUCCUUUUCUUUAUUACAAGGGAUUUCCACUCAUCAUUGUUUUUGAACUUUUUGUUCUGAUGUUUUAUGUACUGUUUAGGGAAUAAUUUAUUAUGUAUCUUUAUAUUACUCUGAAAUGCCCCAUCUAUUUUGUAAAAAGCAUGUUGUAACAAUGCGGAAAACACUGAUGGCAUCUGUGUAAAAUAAAGUCUUGUUUCUUUUGGAAA